rnacentral:rRNA from 1 species
AAGUCGAACGAGGUCCAGGGAAGCUUGCUUCCUGAAGACCUAGUGGCGAACGGGUGAGUAACACGUGAGAAACCUGCCUCGGGAGUGGGGGAAUAACUCGGGGAAACUCGAGCUAAUACCGCAUACCUUCACAUGAUCGCAUGGUCGAGUGAAGAAAGAAUUUCGCUCUGAGAGGGUCUCGCGGCCUAUCAGCUUGUUGGUGGGGUAAACGGCCUACCAAGGCAACGACGGGUAGCUGGUUUGAGAGAACGAUCAGCCACACUGGGACUGAGACACGGCCCAGACUCCUACGGGAGGCAGCAGUGGGGAAUCUUGCGCAAUGGGCGAAAGCCUGACGCAGCAACGCCGCGUGCGGGAUGACGGCCUUCGUGGUUGUAAACCGCUUUCAGCAGGGACGAAAAUGACGGUACCUGCAGAAGAAGCCCCGGCUAACUACGUG